CCCACGUGUUUUAUUGUUGGACUCCUUUAAAGGAAACAAGUUACAAUUUUUACAUUGCAAAAUUGAAGUAAUUAACUUUCAUCCAUUACCUACUGAGAAAAGAAAAUAAUGAGAGUACGACUGCAUUACCAGAUAAACACUUCUCAUUUGUCAUAUUUGUUUUUGUUACUAAGCUGUGUACAUACUGGAAGCACUUCACUCCUUGCACAUUGCUUUGUAGUUGAUGUCUCGUGGCCAUUCCCCCUCUGGCUUCCGAGCACUCCUCCUCCUGCUCUCCUGACUGAAUGCUGCUGCCUGAGCCCGGCCCCUCCUCAGCUCGAGGAGCUGCUUUUACUCACUCAAGCACCAAGGGACACAGGAAUCAUGACUCUGCUAUAGAGGGCAGCCUCUACGCAAGCUCCUCCAACAACAGACACAUUUCCCACAGCUGAUCUUCAAGGCAGAAUACAUCAUGAAGAAUCUCUAAGGACCUUUUCUUUCGUCUUUCCUCUGUGAAACUCACCUUUAAGUUUUCUGAAAUUCAAAAUUUGUUACGAAAGAUGAGUGUGAAAAAAAAGGCUGCACUUGUCAUCAGCUGGCAGAAGUCAUUUUCCAUCAUGGCCCCUUGGAGGAAAGGUAAAGGAGACAGUAAAAACACAUUACUGGACAGUGAGGUUGUCCUGACAAAAAUGAAGCUUUUCAGCAACUUCCAUGAAAGUCUUCUGAGGGCUGAUGACGCCGUGUCCACCAUUUCCACAGUGUCAGUUAUUGACCAGGAAAACUCACACUCCGAGCUGAAUUCUCAGCUUAAUGAAAAGCCUCAGAUCAAGUCUGGCUCCAAAUAUCUAUCUGCCAUUUUGUCAGAUUCUCAUCUCUCAAACUUGUACAAGUGUGAAUCUGAGGACUCUGGAGUGGAGCUCCCCAGCGGAGCUAAUUCACCAUCCACCCCAACAGGAUCUGAGCAGAGCUUUGUGGUCCACAGUCGAGAGUCUUCCUGUGACUCCUCCAACUUAAACUCUGAGCCCACCGUCCUCUCUGACAGACUCGUUGCAGAUACAAAGAACACUGAGAAAAACCAGGCAAAUGACUCAGCGGAUAACAGUUUAAAUACAACAGUGGAUACACAGGAUAGUUUGUUCAUUCAUUCAAAUACACUUAUUUCUUCGGCUAUAACAGUAGAGUUGCACAUAGGUGAGGAUGUGGACCAAUGCAGGGUUUUGGGUGCUGAACAAAGUGAGGAUGCUGAAGAAUCCAGUGCUGUGACAGGAAGGACCAGCUCAGAGGAUACGAGGCUUGGAGAGCAAUCCUUAAUACAAAGCUGUGAUGACAUGACAAGCAAAGUCUUUGAACCCGAGCCUAUUAAAAGGAGUAUCACCAGUGACAGCCUGGAAGAGUACAUGGAUGAAUGCUGCAGAUUAAGUAAGGAACAGCAAGUGAGCUCCAGCCCACUAUCAUCAGGACUGGGUUACCUGGAGCACAUCUGUCAACUCGUUGAGAAGAUCAGCCAGAUGCAGGAGACUAACCUCCAGCUGCAGAGGCAGCUCUGCAGUCUGCAAAAGGAAUGCAGGAUGAGAAAGGCCAAAGAGGACUUCUUCAAAGACUACUGCAGCUGUGGUGCAGCCAGUUUAGCCUUCCAGGAUUUUCAGAAAACACAAUCCAGAGAUGAGUUUUCAUCACCCAGUGGAACUCUCUCAGACCUGUCAGCCAUUCCAGAGGUCACACAGCACCCACUCAUGUCGACCAGUGGAGGAGUUACAGGUGAUGCUUUAACACUCGUCCCUCCGUGGAGGAAGAGCCUAAACCAAAGGAGUUACACUGAGGGGGAGGUCCACGGGGACAGCACUGAGGGGCUCUCCAUCACUCAGCACACACUGAGUGAAAACAACACAUGGGCCAGAGUCAAAGACAUGGUAAGGAAGACUAAGUUAAGGAAUCACAGCAGGCUGGGAACAGCCUCAGCUUCACUGAAGAUGUCCUGCCCACAGCUCUACAGACCUGAUCUGGAACCAGUACAAUCAUCUGGAACAAGCAGGAACUCUAUGAUUGCCUUGGGCCACCGGAGUACACUGGACUUCCCGUGGCUUGAGUAAGGAUCCAGAAACAGCCUGUCUGAUCGGACCUCCUCGCUCCUGAGUGUAACAAGUAGUUGUAAACUUUCUGUAUUUACAUUCAUGAAGUCAUCUUUUGAUUGUAGACUUUGACAUCUGCUUCUGUGAGACUGUUGUGCUGAGCUGGCUAGUUCAGUCAUUCUUUUUCAAGAAUGUUCAAGACUUUUUAUUUGACAGCUGCUAAAAUCUGCAAUCUCUCCAGCCUAAGUAUGGCCUCUUCCACAGCAGCUCCUGUGACCUCAUAUUGAGACUUGUAGUGCACAGCUACCAAUGCAGGUUCAACAUUUCACAGCACGUCCAGUGUAACAAGAGAAUAAAACAUCAUCUGGCCAUGAAACUGCUUGUCAGCUGUUCUUACUUUGUUAUUUCUUAAUGUUCAGCCUCUGGAAAUGGGAGGUGUAAAAUCCUGUCUGCAUGCUCUCUGUAACUGUGUGAUAAUGUCUUUG
ensembl:lncRNA